GUGGGGAAUUUUGGACAAUGGGCGCAAGCCUGAUCCAGCAAUGCUGCGUGCAGGAAGAAGGCCUUCGGGUUGUAAACUGCUUUUGUACGGAACGAAACGGUCCGGGUUAAUACCCUGGGCUAAUGACGGUACCGUAAGAAUAAGCACCGGCUAACUACGUGCCAGCAGCCGCGGUAAUACGUAGGGUGCAAGCGUUAAUCGGAAUUACUGGGCGUAAAGCGUGCGCAGACGGUUUUGUAAGACAGGCGUGAAAUCCCCGGGCUCAACCUGGGAAUUGCGCUUGGGACUGCAAGGCUGGAGUGCGGCAGAGGGGGAUGGAAUUCCGCGUGUAGCAGUGAAAUGCGUAGAUAUGCGGAGGAACACCGAUGGCGAAGGCAAUCCCCUGGGCCUGCACUGACGCUCAUGCACGAAAGCGUGGGGAGCAAACAGGAUUAGAUACCCGGGUAGUCC
rnacentral:rRNA from 1 species